UACAGAGGGUGCAAGCGUUAAUCGGAAUUACUGGGCGUAAAGCGUGCGUAGACGGUUAUGUAAGUCAGGUGUGAAAGCCCAGGGCUCAACCUUGGAAUUGCAUUUGAGACUGCAUAGCUAGGGUGCGGAAGAGGGAAGCGGAAUUUCCGGUGUAGCGGUGAAAUGCGUAGAUAUCAGAAGGAACACCAGUGGCGAAAGCGGCUUCCUGGUCCAGCACCGACGUUCAGGCACGAAAGCGUGGGGAGCAAACAGG
rnacentral:rRNA from 1 species